rnacentral:rRNA from 1 species
AACGAACGCUGGCGGCAUGCCUAACACAUGCAAGUCGAACGAGAUCUUCGGGUCUAGUGGCGCACGGGUGCGUAACGCGUGGGAAUCUGCCCUUUGGUUCGGAAUAACAGUUGGAAACGACUGCUAAUACCGGAUGAUGACGAAAGUCCAAAAAGUUAUCGCCAGAGGAUGAGCCCGCGUAGGAUUAGCUAGUUGGUGUGGUAAAGGCGCACCAAGGCGACGAUCCUUAGCUGGUCUGAGAGGAUGAUCAGCCACACUGGGACUGAGACACGGCCCAGACUCCUACGGGAGGCAGCAGUGGGGAAUAUUGGACAAUGGGCGAAAGCCUGAUCCAGCAAUGCCGCGUGAGUGAUGAAGGCCUUAGGGUUGUAAAGCUCUUUUACCCGGGAUGAUAAUGACAGUACCGGGAGAAUAAGCUCCGGCUAACUCCGUGCCAGCAGCCGCCGUAA